GGUGAUUCAUUAAAAGAAAGAUUUUUGCCUCGUAUAACUUGAGGCACCACUCGGUUCAAGCUAGUCUGGAAAAAAUACAAAACGUAAAUAUUUGGCAAGAUGUGAGCGAAGAAAACGAAAAUGGAAUCAAUAUAGUGAAGUAAUAAUACGAUGAACUCCACUACGCAUAUCAUCUGGCACCAAACACCCCAGGAUGACACCGUCUUCUUCCGGUCACUUCCGGAUCGCCGAUGUCCGCAGCCGUUCUGCUUCCGGAUGGCAUGUCCGAAGAUUUUUACUCUUUUCCCCAGCACCGCAAAUCAUUUCCGCUGAUCCAGCGCUCAUCGGGAAAAGGUGGUGCUUUCCCACAACCACGCACAUCGAUCCCAGUUUUCCGGAAUUCUCAUUGGAUGACUCCCGAUUCGGGAUGGCCUGUCAUUGGACAAGACAUCAGAUGAUGGCAUUAACAUCUUCCAUUUAUUGCAGUCGAGGAAGACAAAGGAUUGAAGAGAGAUAUCGGCCCCUUCGUCUAAUUGGUUGGGAGUUAUAAAACAGAAAGGGGUAUUGCUGCGUUUUUAAAAACGGUUUGAUGGGAUUUUUAUUUUGAGUGGUAUUUCUCUGGAUCAAUAAUAGAGUAGAUAAGAUAUCCUCUUUCCUACAUGUUAAAAUUUUUAUGAAAUAUGUAUUCCCUGUUGAACUUGUUCAAUUUUUGCUGUAGUGCUACAUGACGGGCUGCAAAUUAGAACUUCAAUUUAAAAUUGAUUGGUUUGGAAGAAUUUCAUAACUCUCAACUUCCAUUUAUCCAAAGUUACUUUUUCAUUCCAGAUGGCAAAUGCUGUCUCUCCUUCAAACAAAAUCGGAAUAAGCCCUUUAAGAAUCCUUUGGCAAUUUAAGUUUUGUUCUUAACCUUUUUUUUAUCCCAAUUUCAAAAACAAGAUUUUUUUAAAGGAUUUUAAUUCAACUCGUAAUCUAUAUAAGCAUGCUUUGACAUAAUAUUACCUUAAACAAAAGAGAGGAUAGCAAAUCAGCCUCGAAUGAUCUGGUUUCAAUAUUUCAAAAACAACAACAAUAAAAACAUUAAAUGAUUUUAAACAGAAUGGUAAAAAAGAAUCUACAAAACUUUAAUGUAAUCUAAACUCUCAGCGACAAAAUUAACUAGAGCUGUUAACUGAUGAGUCAAUCAACCAAAUUCCCUCCCCCAUCAGUGUGGACCUCAAGAGACGGUCCACACUGAUUUGUAAAAGAAUUUCAAAUUAUAAAAAAGAAACUCUAAGAAUAAUGUUCUGAAAUCUUUACAUUAAUUGAUUUUAACUUGAAUCGGUUUAAUUGUAAGAUCUUUGUAAAUCAAAUGAAAGUGAUGAAUUUAAAUUAUGCUAAAAAAUAGCAAAAGAUUUGAAACAAAAAUAUUGAUAUUCUAAAAGUCUUGAGACCUUGGGGCUUCCCAAAGCUACUAGAUCUGUAGACUGUUUUAUCGUUUUAUAAUCCAAUUGCACCUGCAGAGGGAAUAAAUUUCAUUGUGUUAAGCCUAAUGCUUGACUUCGCUCCCUCCUCCCCCAGCUCAAAAAUAGGAAAGCCGAUGUCCUUCUCUAGCUGUUUUCAUAUAAGUCAUAUUAUAUUAACUAACAUUCAUUCAUUUAUUAAAAGACACACAGUGAAAUUGUCCAAUAUGUGCUUAUGGUGUCCCUUCAAAAUGUUGAAGAUUUAAAACCCAGCACUCGUUUUUCUUUGGAUCCGCUUCAGUACAUUAUUUACAUUGUUUGGGAAAACUCCUUUUUAGCAGUUUUGAAUUUCUCUGGAAUUUAUUAUUUUAUAGCCACUAAUUCCUCGGUACUACUUGCUGCGAGAAAUUAAAUCUUUCAUAAGCAGUUAGGGCUAAAUGGUUCCCUCAGUAAACAAAUUUUGAUAACUUGUUUCAGCUUUACAUCCUUUGGAUAAGCUAUGUCGAUGUAGAAACUAAAGAAAUAAUAAUAACAAAUUUUGAUAGACAUUUAUGUUAAAAGUCUCAUACCUUUAUAUUCAUUCAAUGUCCUAUAUGAAUAUCGCAAAUAUUGACCUUUUUCAUAGAUUUAAUCUUUUACCUUGAUAUACUGUUUAGUUUGGAAACUUUUUGUCUGCACAAUAACUGU